AGAGUUUCGCAUUCAGACCAUAAAAAACGUAGGCUUGAAUCUGCUCCCUGGUGUUGCUGAGUUUAUAGAAAGCAUCAGCAGCUUUGUUUGCCGAAGCACGAUAUUGAAUGGAUGCAACCACAGUAAACUAGCCAUGAACCUUAGUCUUUGUUUCACAUCGAACAUCAAGUUGCUUCACACGCAAUGAAAGGUUCCCAGCUAACUGACUCCCAAAACACCAAGGCAAGAAGUGACAACCAGGCUCAAGCACACCAGCAAACUUUCCAAAGGUCUCCUUGAUGGCUACGGUUGACUGGUCCACUUGAAUACAGCAAACUGAUUGUCCCAUAUUUGACUCUGCCAGCUAAAAAAGACCAUGAAGAUCAAUAGAGAACAAAACAGAGGAGAAAAAACCCAAGAUGCUUUAUGAAUGCUUAAUCAGCAACAUAACCAGGAAUGAAUUCCA